AGGAAAUAAACAUUUUUGGCCUGGUCCUGAGGAGAAUGCAAUGCUCACCCCAGAACUGCUGCUGCAGGAGCACCAUCUCAGAGGAGGACACAGAGACCAUCACAGCUACAAGCAUCUGACAGACUGAAGGACUCCAAAGGGGAUAGACAACAUGCUGUAGAUGCACGGGCAGUGAUCUGAGAGUCAAAGCUCCAUUUCUAAUUGUUCUGUGGUGGAGUUACAUGACCGAACAGGGCUGUGGAUGUUAUCUGCUGUGCUUGUAAUGCACUGAGUGGCUUCUACCUCAUCCUUUGCCUCCAUCUGUUUCUCUGCUGCUCCCGUUGAGCCCACACAACUAUCUCCAGAAGUGAAUAUGAAAGAUGCAGGAGUCUGACUCUACUCCCCACACAGAUCAUGACUGAGGACUGUGAGUAGACAGUCUCCUUGGGCUCCCUCCCACCAGCGCAAGGCAUGUAAGCAAUGAGACCAAAGGAGUCCUCCUGGGUUGUGGUGACCAAGCCCAGCUAAUGCAAGCAGCCAUGUCACAUAAACCUGUCCAUAAAGGCAUCUGACAGCCUGCCCUCCUUACUGCUGUGAAGAGACUCUCCAAAAAUCCACUCCUCUAAUGGUCUGGAAAUCACCGAGGGCCAAGAAUCAAAUGCAAAGGCAGCCCUAAGACUGGGUCUAGCAUGGAGUCAAGAGUAGGAUGCUGUGUUCCUUGUAUGAGCAGAGGAGCCUGUGCAGCCACACUUUGCCUGGGGCAGGCUUCCAUCCCAACACCAAGGGAACAGAAGACAAACGGGCAUUGGUCCCAAGAACAGGCGGUAACGAAAUCAAGCUGGACCAUCUGUGGAUUGCUCAGUGCCUGCCAUCCCACCAACUACAGGAGGAUACUGGGAGAGGCUGAGAGCUUGAAAAUCAAAACAAAAUCAUGGUGACAGAAAACCACCAAUCAGCCCUAAGCAACUCUCCACUUGUCUCUAGAAAUGUAAGCCUGGGGUUGAUUUAAAUAUGUCUAGAAAUGAGAAGCCGUGUGUUCAGCCUGCUCUCUUCUGCAGGAUCAGGUAUCCAUCUUUUCCAGUUGGUUUAAGCUGUCCAUCUCCUCCUGUCCCUGAUAUGAUAAAGUCAGUGUUAUUAGAAUGCCAAACCUCCUCCCUGAGGUUCUUGGUGGGUUCUGGUUCCUGCUGCAUGUCUGUGAUGGGAAGGUCUGAGACCUCCCCAGCUCAUUUCAUGUGUUGCAGAGCUCAUCUCUCCAGCCUGCCAAGGGGGAGAGGGACAGAUUAACACUGAGAAAAGGCUUUUAUGGGGCAGCAAUGCAGCAAGAAGCAAUGUGUAGUUUAUAUCAGUAUUGGAUGCAUAUUCCUGUGAGUGUGUAACUUGCUCCCAGCCUGGAAGCUGGUAUCACCAGUGUGCAAAAAAGCUUCUUACUGCUGCUCCUUUCUGGGUGCUUUUGUGGAGGGGGAGGAUAGAGAAUUGGCAGCAUGUUGGUAGAGAUCUGGGAGAGGGGGGAAUGAGGGUUUAAAGCUUGAAUCCUAUCAAGUUCAUUCUACUGACAGCUCCAGGAAGGGGAAGAGACACACCCCCCCCCCCCCCUCUUCUGCACAUCUAUUCCAGCCUGCAACAGCCUAAUAAAGAGGAUAAUGGAUUGGUUUAACCUUUAAGGGAGGAGAGCGCAGCGCUGCAUCGUCUGCUGUGUGCACACAGCCCCCGGCUCAGUGUGAGCGCAUCCAGCACACGGACAUCCACAUUCCCUCCCCACGGUGCUCCCAUCACAUGCCUUGAUCCAUGUGAGAGUAGAUCCAACACAGUGCAGGAGACAUUCGCCUACGCAGAUCUCAUUAGUUGUCUCAAAGAGGGAAGGGAAUGAACAUGACUGGUGACGUCCCAGCCCUCCUCUCUGUCUCCUGUUCAGAGGGAAGGGGGGAGAAGGGGCAGAGACAAGGAAAGCUUUCGGGGGGAUUAAUGAGCAUAACCAGGCUAUAGUGAUGAAUUCUUCAUCUGGCCUGAAGUGUAAUUGUAGCACAGGGAUUAGUGCUCUGGGGAGCUCUUUGGCUGUCGCUGAUGGGUGAUUUUUAGCUAUUGAUGCACACAGGGGGUAAAAGCAACAGCUGGUUGUGCUGUGCUUUGGGGUAGAUCCAGUGAAAUGAAGAUUUCUGGAGUGGGCUUUGGGGCAGAAGCAGGAGGGGUUUAUAACAUCCUGGGUCUGGCUCACAGCUGACAACUGGUCCCAGUUCCCUGCUAUUUCUGAUG